rnacentral:rRNA from 1 species
UACGUAGGGGGCUAGCGUUGUCCGGAAUCAUUGGGCGUAAAGAGCGUGUAGGCGGCCCGGUAAGUCCGCUGUGAAAGUCGGGGGCUCAACCCUCGAAUGCCGGUGGAUACUGUCGGGCUAGAGUGCGGAAGAGGCGAGUGGAAUUCCUAGUGUAGAGGUGAAAUUCGUAGAUAUUAGGAAGAACACCAGUGGCGAAGGCGGCUCACUGGCCCGGUACUGACGCUCAUGUGCGAAAGCGUGGGGAGCAAACAGG